CCUAGAUGAUCACUUUCGGUUUCUAAAUGGUGGGAUAGACAUGUGCCUGGUGCUGAUUGUUUUCGCGGACGGAACAUAUUACCGAUACAAGUCGUCACCAAAGCAAUAUGCAGUGACCACCGUCAACUCAACUAACAAACUGUGAGGUGACACUGGGCAUUAUGAAGAGCUGCGGACGUACCCUGUAUAUGGACACAAACAGACAAACAAUCAUGUUCAGAUAGGCCUACAGAUGAACAUAACGUAGGUAAGGUAUUCCCCUUACUUGUAAGGUCUGGAGCUGUCUCAAUUUUACUAGCAAGCUUGGUGUACAAAAUUUAAUGUGAACAAUGGCUUAUGGAUGAUUCUGCCUAAUAUAUGACAUCAAAGGUACAUCAGCUUUAGGACUUUAUUUAUAUGGAUAUUUGUGGUGUGACCAAUACUAGAAGAUAAAUGCCAUCCCCUGCCACCAGAGACAGCAGAUUUAGGCAUAGUUUCCCUUUAGCUACCAUCUCCCACUAUUCUAUGUCAUUGAUUAAAAUUACAUAACUUAAUAUGAUUAAAAUUACAUAACUUAA